GGAGGAAAAGAAACUAACAAGGAUUCCCCUAGUAACUGCGAGUGAAGCGGGAAAAGCUCAAAUUUAAAAUCUGGCAGUCUUUGAUUGUCCGAGUUGUAAACUAGAGAAGUGUUAUCCGCGCUGGACCGUGUAAAAGUCUCCUGGAAUGGAGCAUCAUAGAGGGUGAGAAUCCCGUCUUUGACAUGGACUACCAGUGCUUUGUGAUGCGCUCUCAAAGAGUCGAGUUGUUUGGGAAUGCAGCUCAAAAUGGGUGGUAAAUUCCAUCUAAAGCUAAAUAUUGGCGAGAGACCGAUAGCGAACAAGUACCGUGAGGGAAAGAUGAAAAGAACUUUGGAAAGAGAGUUAAACAGUACGUGAAAUUGCUGAAAGGGAAACGCUUGAAGUCAGUCGCGUCGGCCAGGAAUCAACCUUGCUUUUGCUGGGCGUACUUUCUGGUUGAUGGGUCAGCAUCAAUUUUGACUGCUGGAAAAAGUUCAAGGGAAUGUGGCAUCUUCGGAUGUGUUAUAGCCCUUGUUCGCAUACAGCAGUUGGGAUUGAGGUACUCAGCACGCCGCAAGGCCGGGUUUCGACCACGUUCGUGCUUAGGAUGCUGGCAUAAUGGCUUUAAUCGACCCGUCUUGAAACACGGACCAAGGAGUCUAACAUGCCUGCGAGUGUUUGGGUGGAAAACCCAAGCGCGCAAUGAAAGUAAAAGUUGAGAUCCCUGUCAUGGGGAGCAUCGACGCCCGGACCAGAGCUUUUGUGACGGAUCUGCGGUAGAGCAUGUAUGUUGGGACCCGAAAGAUGGUGAACUAUGCCUGAAUAGGGUGAAGCCAGAGGAAACUCUGGUGGAGGCUCGUAGCGAUUCUGACGUGCAAAUCGAUCGUCAAAUUUGGGUAUAGGGGCGAAAGACUAAUCGAA
rnacentral:rRNA from 1 species